rnacentral:rRNA from 1 species
AGAGUGAACGCUGGCGGCAGGCCUAACACAUGCAAGUCGAGCGGCAGCGCGGGGGCAACCCUGGCGGCGAGCGGCGGACGGGUGAGGAAUACAUCGGAAUCUGCCUUGUUGUGGGGGAUAACGUAGGGAACUUACGCUAAUACCGCAUAAGACCUGAGGGUGAAAGCGGGGGACCGCAAGGCCUCGCGCGACAAGAUGAGCCGAUGUCCGAUUAGCUAGUUGGUGAGGUAAGCUCACGAAGGCGACGAUCGGUAGCUGGUCUAGAGAGGAUGAGUCAGCCACACGUAGAACUGAGACGACGGUCCAGACUCCGUACGGGAGCAGCUAGGUAGGGUAAUAGUUA